AUUGAACGCUGGCGGCAUGCUUUACACAUGCAAGUCGAGCGGCAGCGCGGGGGCAACCCUGGCGGCGAGCGGCGAACGGGUGAGUAAUGCAUCGGAACGUACCCUGGAGUGGGGGGAUAACGCCGCGAAAGCGGCGCUAAUACCGCAUAUGCUCUGAGGAGGAAAGUGGGGGGACCGCAAGGCCUCACGCUCUGGGAGCGGCCGAUGUCCGAUUAGCUAGUUGGUGGGGUAAAGGCUUACCAAGGCGACGAUCGGUAGCUGGUCUGAGAGGAUGAUCAGCCACACUGGGACUGAGACACGGUCCAGACUCCUACGGGAGGCAGCAGUGGGAAUAUUGCUACAAUGGGGGAAACCCUGAUGCAGCCAUGCCGCGUGUGUGAAGAAGGCCUUA
rnacentral:rRNA from 1 species